rnacentral:rRNA from 1 species
UACAGAGGUCUCAAGCGUUGUUCGGAUUCAUUGGGCGUAAAGGGUGCGUAGGCGGCGCGGUAAGUCGGGUGUGAAAUCUCGGAGCUUAACUCCGAAACUGCAUUCGAUACUGCCGUGCUUGAGGACUGGAGAGGAGACUGGAAUUUACGGUGUAGCGGUGAAAUGCGUAGAUAUCGUGAAGGAAGACCAGUGGCGAAGGCGGGUCUCUGGACAGUUCCUGACGUGAGGCACGAAGGCCAGGGGAGCAAACAGG